AUGCACGCUGGCGGCGUGCCUCAUACAUGCCAGUCGAGCGCACAGACGAGGAGCUUGCUCCUCUGACGUUAGCGGCGGACGGGUGAGUAACACGUGGAUAACCUACCUAUAAGACUGGGAUAACUUCGGGAAACCGGAGCUAAUACCGGAUAAUAUAUUGAACCGCAUGGUUCAAUAGUGAAAGACGGUUUUGCUGUCACUUAUAGAUGGAUCCGCGCCGCAUUAGCUAGUUGGUAAGGUAACGGCUUACCAAGGCAACGAUGCGUAGCCGACCUGAGAGGGUGAUCGGCCACACUGGAACUGAGACACGGUCCAGACUCCUACGGGAGGCAGCAGUAGGGAAUCUUCCGCAAUGGGCGAAAGCCUGACGGAGCAACGCCGCGUGAGUGAUGAAGGUCUUCGGAUCGUAAAACUCUGUUAUUAGGGAAGAACAAAUGUGUAAGUAACUAUGCACGUCUUGACGGUACCUAAUCAGAAAGCCACGGCUAACUACGUG
rnacentral:rRNA from 1 species